AAUCCUCCAUCUGCUGGGGGGCGAUAAAGUGGAUGUGGCUGUCAAACCCGCCUGUGGUCAGGAUGCGGCCCUCGCCGGCGAUAAUCUCGGUUCCCGGCCCGAUGAUGAUAUCGACGUUGGGCUGCGUAUCGGGGUUACCCGCCUUGCCGAUGCCCGCGAUACGGCCAUCUUUCAGCGCGACGUCGGCCUUGUAGAUGCCGGAAUGGUCGACGAUCAGCGCGUUGGUGAUCACGGUAUCGACCGCGCCAUUCGCGCGCGUCACCUGAGACUGCCCCAUCCCGUCGCGGAU
rnacentral:sRNA from 1 species